GCCUGCUCUAUGAAUAUUUUUUAAAUGGCCGCGGUAUUUUGACCGUGCGAAGGUAGCAUAAUCAUUAGUCUUUUAAUUGGAGGCUGGUAUGAAUGGCUGGACGAGAAAAUUUCUGUCUCUGUUAUAAAAUUUGAAUUUUAUUUUUAAGUGAAAAAGCUUAAAUUUUUUUGAGGGACGAUAAGACCCUUUGGAUCUUUAUAAUAACGAGUAAUAAAAAGGUUAGGUGUGACAGCUUAUCGCUUUAAAUUAUUGGGUUGGGGCGACUGGAAGAAAAAAAUAUCUCUUCUUAAAUAAUAUACUUAUUAGUAGAAUUAGGAUGACCCUGAAUUUUGGUUUAAAAGACUAAGUUACCCUAGGGAUAACAGCGUAAUCUUUUUGGAGAGUUCAUAUCGAUGAAAAGGUUUGCGACCUCGAUGUUGGAUUAAGAUAUCCUUAUGGCGCAGCCGUUAUAAAGGAGAGUCUGUUCGACUCUUAAAUUCUUACGUGAUCUGA
rnacentral:rRNA from 1 species